rnacentral:rRNA from 1 species
GUAGGUGGCAAGCGUUGUCCGGAAUUAUUGGGCGUAAAGCGCGCGCAGGCGGUUUUUUUAAGUCUGAUGUGAAAGCCCACGGCUCAACCGUGGAGGGUCAUUGGAAACUGGAGAACUUGAGUACAGAAGAGGAAAGCGGAAUUCCACGUGUAGCGGUGAAAUGCGUAGAGAUGUGGAGGAACACCAGUGGCGAAGGCGGCUUUCUGGUCUGUAACUGACGCUGAGGCGCGAAAGCGUGGGGAGCAAACAGGGAUUAGAUACCCUGGUAGUCCACGCCGUAAACGAUGAGUGCUAAGUGUUAGGGGGUUUCCGCCCCCUUAGUGCUGCAGCUAACGCAUUAAGCACUCCGCCUGGGGAGUACGGCCGCAAGGCUG